rnacentral:misc_RNA from 1 species
GAUUAAGAACGCAGCGAAAUGCGAUAAGUAGUGUGAAUUGCAGAAUUCAGUGAAUCAUCGAAUCUUUGAACGCACAUUGCGCCCCUUGGUAUCCCGAGGGGCAUGCCUGUUCGAGCGUCAUUUCACCACUCAAGCCUGGCUUGGUGUUGGGCGACGUCCUCUUUGGGGACGCGCCUCGAAACGCUCGGCGGCGUGGCACCGGCUUUAAGCGUAGCAGAAUCUUUCGCUUUGGAAGUCGGGGCCCCGUCUGCCGGAAGACCUGCUCGCAAGGUUGACCUCGGAUCAGGCAGGGAUACCCGCUGAACUUAAGCAUAUCAAUAAGCGGAGGA